AUUGAACGCUGGCGGCAGGCCUAACACAUGCAAGUCGAACGAGUGGCGGACGGGUGAGUAAUGCCUGGGAAUCUAGCUUAUGGAGGGGGAUAACUACGGGAAACGGUAGCUAAUACCGCAUACCAUCGGAUGAGCCCCAGUGGGAGUAGGUUGUUGGUGAGGUAAUGGCUCACCAAGCCGACGAUCCCUAGCUGGUCUGAGAGGAUGACCAGCCACACUGGGACUGAGACACGGCCCAGACUCCUAAGGGAGGCAGCAGUGGGGAAUAUUGCGCAAUGUGGGCAACCCUGACGCAGCCAUGCCGCGGGAAUGAAGAAGGCCUUCGGGUUGUAAAGUUCUUUCGGUAGCGAGGCGUUACCUACAGAAGAAGCACCGGCUAACUCCGUGCCAGCAGCCGCGGUAAUAC
rnacentral:rRNA from 1 species